UCUGGAAUGGUUUGUGUUCCAAAUGAUUUAUCGCCGUAGGAUGGGACUGCGGCCUAUCAGUUUGUUGGUGAGGUAAUGGCCCACCAAGACUAUUACAGGUACGGGCUCUGAGAGGAGUAGCCCGGAGAUGGGUACUGAGACACGGACCCAGGCCCUAUGGGGCGCAGCAGGCGAGAAAACUUUGCAAUGUGCGAAAGCACGACAAGGUUAAUCCGAGUGGUUUCUGCUAAAGGAACCUUUUGUCAGUCCUAGAAACACUGACGAAUAAGGGGUGGGCAAGUUCUGGUGUCAGCCGCCGCGGUAAAGCCAGCACCUCAAGUGGUCAGGAUGAUUAUUGGGCCUAAAGCAUCCGUAGCCGGCUCUGUAAGUUUUCGGUUAAAUCUGUACGCUCAACGUACAGGCUGCCGAGAAUACUGCAGAGCUAGGGAGUGGGAGAGGUAGACGGUACUCGGUAGGAAGGGGUAAAAUCCUUUGAUCUAUUGAUGACCACCUGUGGCGAAGGCGGUCUACCAGAACACGUCCGACGGUGAGGGAUGAAAGCUGGGGGAGCAAACCGGAUUAGAUACCC
rnacentral:rRNA from 1 species